CUUGACAUUAUCCUCUUUCUCUCCGUUAUUAGCCCUAAUCGUGGCUGAAAUUAGGGCAGGUAUCUGCGAUUCUCUUGUACUACAGAUCAGAGGAGAUCUCUUCCCUUAAUUAUCCUCCCCGUUACCAUAUUAUCCCGCGAUCUUCUCUUCUCAUUUUUUCCUUCGACUGCUCUAAAAUUUGGGCAAAAAGGAAACUAGAAAACAUUCUUUUCAAGCAUUGGAGAAUUGAAGUCGCUUUAAUUCCUCAUGCGUUACAAAUAUUCCCCUACAUAAACACCUACAUAGGUCAUCAUCUUACCGUGUUUCAGACGCAUGCUCUAGGUUUCAAAUGUUCUUUUUGGAAAAGAGGAGGCAUCCAUCUUAGUCCAUACUCUUUCACUGAUUUCAAAUGGGUUCCCAGAUUGUGAACAGCCCUUCCACACGCCAGGCCAACACCUACAAAAUCUUCUCCCAUAUUGGCGAGGCCGAAGAAGGCACAAAAUGGAUGACCCGUGUUCGAAUAUCAAGAAAGUGAAAGGCACAAAAUGGAGGACCUGUCUUCUCGGUGCAUGUCAGUUCUGCUUGAUUUCUCAUUUAUAUUAAUUUGGUUCUUGUUGCUGCGCAACGGCCACAACAUCUAUAGAAUUAGUCUAAUUUUAGUUGCCUACUCCCUGAAGAUUCGCCUACUCCUUCAACUAUAUUAGUUGGAAGUACUUAUUUGGAUGCCAAGUAUCCUAUCUCCAGGUAUUUCAGACCUUCAAUCCGUGUGCCCAUCAGGUACCGUACACCAGGAAAUUAUCAUUGCUAACUCAUUUGGUGACAUCCAAUGUGGAUCCUACUUCCAACCAUUUUUAUGGAAUCUGCAUUUCUUCACAGUGAAAAUACACAGACUUGCAACACAAAGAUUUUGGAUUUUGGAUUGGCAAAAGGUGUUGCUACUGCCAUUUUCUCUACAGCUGGUACUGGCUUUGACAAAAAAAUUGAAGGUCGGACAGAAAAUAUGACACCUGAGCGUCCUUCCAUAACCCCAAUAUCAUAUUUGAUUAUGCAGGCAAGCCAUGAUAUUCAAGUUCACAAGUCACCACAAACACUAGCAUGUAAAUAAUCUAAAACUAUUGUGUUUCUUUGGUUGUACAACAUUGAGUUACCACGAUGAAUAGAAUUAACUGACGCGAAGAUACAGCAAUCAGAGAUAUCUAAAUUGGGACACUCCAUGCAUCAUUCUACAAGGAUGAGAUUUGUAGCAAUGUUACACCAUUAGUAUACAAGUAGCAUGUUAGAAUGAAAGUUAGAUCUUACAUUUUAUCGGUUCUUCCCGUUUUUCUUUUAUAGGGUUGUGGGAAAAUUGUGAUAAGUAAUCCAUAUUCUGAAGGACCUGAGAUGUUAUAUGUGAAUCUACUACAGUCUUUAUUCAGUUCUGGUGGAUUUUAACCAGCCGUGCA